rnacentral:tRNA from 1 species
GGAGGGGUGGCAGAGCGGUUGAAUGCGCCGGUCUUGAAAACCGGUAGGCCCUGUCAGGGGCCUCGUGGGUUCGAAUCCCACCCCCUCCG